rnacentral:rRNA from 1 species
UUCCGUAGGUGAACCUGCGGAGGGAUCAUUACAGAGUUGCAAAACUCCCUACACCAUUGUGAACGUUACCUAAACCGUUGCUUCGGCGGGCGGCCCCGGGGUUUACCCCCCGGGCGCCCCUGGGCCCCACCGCGGGCGCCCGCCGGAGGUCACCAAACUCUUGAUAAUUUAUGGCCUCUCUGAGUCUUCUGUACUGAAUAAGUCAAAACUUUCAACAACGGAUCUCUUGGUUCUGGCAUCGAUGAAGAACGCAGCG